rnacentral:rRNA from 1 species
GUAGGUGGCAAGCGUUGUCCGGAAUUAUUGGGGCGUAAAGCGCGCGCAGGCGGUUCGUUUAAGUCUGAUGUGAAAGCCCACGGGCUCAACCGUGGAGGGUCAUUGGAAACUGGAGAACUUGAGUACAGAAGAGGAAAGCGGAAUUCCACGUGUAGCGGUGAAAUGCGUAGAGAUGUGGAGGAACACCAGUGGCGAAGGCGGCUUUCUGGUCUGUAACUGACGCUGAGGCGCGAAAGCGUGGGGAGCAAACAGGAUUAGAUACCCUGGUAGUCCACGCCGUAAACGAUGAGUGCUAAGUGUUAGGGGGUUUCCGCCCCCUUAGUGCUGCAGCUAACGCAUUAAGCACUCCGCCUGGGGAGUACGGCCGCAAGGCUG